GACGAACGCUGGCGGCGUGCUUAACACAUGCAAGUGGUGCGACGAACCAGGCUUCGGCCUGGGGCAGAGCCGCGAACGGGUGAGUAACACGUGGGCAACCUGCCCUGUUGAUCGGGACAACCCGGGGAAACCCGGGCUAAUACCGAAUGUGGUGUCGGCUCAUGAGAGCCGUCACGAAAGGAAGCUUCGGCCUCCGCGACAGGAUGGGCACGCGGCCAAUUAGCUUGUUGGUGGGGUAAUGGCCUACCAAGGCAACGAUGGGUAGCUGGUCUGAGAGGACGAUCAGCCACACUGGGACUGAGACACGGCCCAGACUCCUACGGGAGGCAGCAGUGGGGAAUUUUGGACAAUGGGGGCAACCCUGAUCCAGCAAUGCCGCGUGAGUGAAGAAGGCCUUCGGGUUGUAAAGCUCUUUUGUCAGGGAAGAAACAGCAGCUCUAACACAGUUUGCGAAUGACGGUACCUGAAGAAUAAGCACCGGCUAACUACGUGCCAGCAGCCGCCGUAA
rnacentral:rRNA from 1 species